rnacentral:siRNA from 1 species
AGGACUCCGGGGCCAUACUCGG